GACGUAGGGCGCGAGCGUUGUCCGGAUUUAUUGGGCGUAAAGAGCUCGUAGGCGGCUUGUUACGUCGUUCGUGAAAACUUGGGGCUCAACCCCAAGCUUGCGGUCGAUACGGGCAGGCUAGAGUUCGGUAGGGGAGACUGGAAUUCCUGGCGUAGCGGUGAAAUGCGCAGAUAUCAGGAGGUACACCGAUGGCGAAGGCAGGUCUCUGGGCCACUACUGACGCUGAGAAGCGAAAGCAUGGGGAGCGAACAGG
rnacentral:rRNA from 1 species